ACCUCCCUGAAAAAUUUUAAGUGCCAUUAAAUGAUGAACCAAGAUAAUCAGUCUCAUCUUAUCAACAGAUUUAAAAAGCUCCUUUGAAUAAUAAAAGCACGUCUUCGAUGUGUUUAGAAAAGUCUAAAGGCUUGACUGAACGAUGGGACGAUAAGAGUGUAUUAUGCGAUAAAAGAGACUGGCUACAACGCCUCCGCGUCUAGCCUGCUCGUGCCUAUGAUUGAAAGGAAACGCCCGGAGCCUUUUCAAGCAUCGUUACGAGCGAGUCACCCUUGAACCUCGUUACACGCAGUCUACUCAACACCUUAGCUUGGAACACGUUGUAAACGCACGUGCCACAAACGAAAUAAACCUCGCUUGCCUACCCAUUGCUCCAUACAAAGUAAUCCUAAAAAGAAGACGAUGAACCCAAAAGUCCUGGAAAAGAGAACAUGUUCAGGUGAGCCUAUAAUGUGCCGAGGAUUAUGUAAUCCAUACAACCAGGACAAAAUCAGAAUCAAAAUUCCCGAAAAACCAAAAUUUACAGAAAAUCCUAAACUUAUAGCGAAAACCACUUCAAGAAAGCAGUUGGUCCUACUUAAAAAACUACCAGAUUCAAAAGGAACUUGUAAACCUCAACAAUGUUGUAUCUUUCCUUAUCUAAUGAUGUUAACAUUGUACAUUAUCUUUCAUGUUCUAAUAGGGAUAACAGCCAAGGAUAGUGAAUAUUAUCAACCUUUUCUAGCCACACAAAUUUGGGGGCUAUUAGCUCUAGUAAUGUGGAGCAUUCGUAACUGAUGAUGAGAAAUAUUUUUCUAUCUAAUAGAAUGUUCCAAGGUGUUACUGAACCUGUAAAUUUGAGAACAUUUUUCAUAGUGGAAGUUGUGGGCCUAUAAUUAUAAUGGCUCUCCACCUUUUUUUUCUGGGGAUAUCAACAGAUCCUGUUUCCCGAAAAUUAAUUUCUGGCAUUAGAUUUGAAAGAGAACCGUGACGAACACUAAUUCCUGCUUAAGAAGACGUGGGCAAUAUUUCUUCUGACAAUGGGGAAAUUAACCAAGUCAGUAAUUAGGCGAAAGCGGGCAACUUUUAUACCCAUCAAGGCAACACUUUUCGGCAGAAAAUCAAACCAGCCCGCCUUGAUCCGUUCAUGAAAGGUCUUGAGAGGUAGGAAACUUAGCCUCGAAAAAAACUGAUUGAUGAAAAAAAGUGUGGAAGAUAGUUUCGGAUUA